rnacentral:misc_RNA from 1 species
UCCUUCUUACGAAGGCAGUCUCGUGUGACACUUAUAACACACAAUAAGGGUUGCGCUCGUUAAUCCACUUAAGGAUACCAUUCACAUGACGAGCUGACGACAGCCGUGCAGCACCUGUCCAAGAGUCUUGCGAGGUCCCUCGUUUCUGAGGGAUUACACUUGGAUUUCAAGCCUUGGUGAGGUUCUUCGCUUAGAGUCGAAUUAAACCACAUGAUCCACCGCUUGUGCAAAUUCCCGCCUAUUUCUUUGAGUUUUAAGCUUGCGCUCGUACUUCCCAGGCGGCAGACUUAACGCGUUAGCUUCGCCACCGGAAGGGUCGAUGCUCCCAAUGGCUAGUCUGCAUAGUUUAGGGCGUGGAAUA